rnacentral:misc_RNA from 1 species
AAGGCUAGUGAACAUUGCAAGGAAUAUGAUAAGAUCCGUGUAAACCUUUACUUUAGUUAUAAGUGUGGCGGCACUCGACAAGCCAAAUACCACCACUCGACACUAACUAGUGUCGGACGACGGCAGCGCAGUGGUUAGCGACGAAACCAAAUAGACUAACGAACUGUCCUGUUUUUACGACCAGGUUUUCAGGAUAGAGAUGGAAAGAAAAAAAAAAAACAAUAUCGUACAUAAGCACCGCUCUACAGCGACUUAAAUUUAAGUUACAAGUGUAAACCUAAAAAAAAAUGUAAUAUUGCAUGACUAUGUCGUACUGUUACGUACGGUACUUUUGCCUGAACCACCUCACAACCGAAUUCAUCGUUUAUAAUGGAAAAUACACAUAUGUAAUACACAAAUACUGGUCAAUAAACACUAUAAAAAAAGCAGUGGUUAGCACCUUAGGUUACGAACGUUCGGAACCCGUGUUUGAAUCCCGGCGACCGGAAUCCGAUUUUUCUUCUACACAACUAAAUUAGGAGGAAAAUCAGCAGCGACAUCUACAGCCAGCAACAACAACUAUCACGGAC